GUCCUAGCCGUAAACGAUGGGUGCUAGGUGUGGGGCGGCGAUUGAUUCGCCCUGUGCCGGAGCUAACGCAUUAAGCACCCCGCCUGGGGAGUACGGCCGCAAGGCUAAAACUCAAAGGAAUUGACGGGGGCCCGCACAAGCGGCGGAGCAUGUGGCUUAAUUCGAUGCGACGCGAAGAACCUUACCUGGGCUUGACAUGCGGGGCGAAGCCUAUGAAAGUAGGCGCUCCUUCUGGAGCCCGCACAGGUGCUGCAUGGCUGUCGU
rnacentral:rRNA from 1 species